GAGUCUUUUUGAAACUAAUCUCGGAAGUAACAUCCCAUCACCUUCUGUUUGUUAGAUGAGUCACUAGGUCCAGCUCACUCUCAAAAGGAGAAGACUGCUCCAGGGCAUAAAUACCAUGAGGUAGGUACACAGAAGAAAGGCCAUGUGAAGACAGAGCAAGAAGCUGGCUAUUUGCAAACCAGAAAGAGAAAUCUCACCAGACUCCAACUCUGGCACCUUAAUCUUGGACUUCCAGCCUCUGGAACAUUGAGAAAAUAAAUUUCUGUUUCUCUAGUCA